rnacentral:lncRNA from 1 species
UUGAUUGGGUCUAAAUUAGUAUAAUUGGGCUCGAUCAUGAUUUAAUUGGGAUUUAAUUUCGUAUUUGUUCUGAUCUAAGUCGGACUUGGAUCGAGCCGAAACUGGACCUAAUUGUAUCUCCCAUGAGUCGGACUCAUGUGGAAUUUUUUCGGGUCAAAAAUCAUUCAAAUGGGCUGUCAAUUUGGUUUAAAACCAAAUAGGCUUGCUUUAUUUCAAAAUGGGCUAACCCAUUUCCUAUUUGACUAAUCCCAUUUAAAUGGUUACGGCUGACUUGUUUUUAAACUCCCAUGGACCCGUGGACCACUCCCCCUCAUGGACCCUUAAGGAUUUUUUUUGUGAACC